rnacentral:rRNA from 1 species
GGAAUCUUAGACAAUGGGGGAAACCCUGAUCUAGCCAUGCCGCGUGAGUGACGAAGGCCUUAGGGUCGUAAAUCUCUUUCGCCCGGGAAGAUAAUGACUGUACCUGGUAAAGAAACCCCGUCUAACUCCGUGCCCGCAGCCGCGGUAAUACGGCGGGGGGUAGCGUUGUUCGGAAUUACUGGGCGUAAAGCGCGCGUAGGCGGACUAUUAAGUCAGGGGUGAAAUCCCGGGGCUCAACCCCGGAACUGCCUUUGAUACUGGUAGUCUUGAGUUCGAGAGAGGUGAGUGGAAUUCCGAGUGUAGAGGUGAAAUUCGUAGAUAUUCGGAGGAACACCAGUGGCGAAGGCGGCUCACUGGCUCGAUACUGACGCUGAGGUGCGAAAGCGUGGGGAGCAAA